GAGGGCAAAUGAUGAAAACAAUUCUUAUGCUUAACACUGAGUUGUUUUAUGAAGACAAAAAACUCCGCUUAUUAUCUGAUGCCUCC